rnacentral:lncRNA from 1 species
GCAGUCACGAACUCGCCAGCAGCUAGCAGCACUGACUAGUAGGAGGGCCCGCCGGAGGAGAGGAAGCCCCAGAGAGAUUGGUGAGGGUGAUUUCCCAGGAAGACGCAGUGUGCUCUGACUUCUGUGACAGUGAGCAACGGGACCAGUGGAUGUCCAGAUGCUGGCAAUGAGACAUGCUCUGGAGUCAGAAGACAGCGAAAAGAGAAGCAGAAGCCCCGGUGGCAAGAGUCUGAAGCAGGAAGGAUGACUGUAGCCUGUGGAUUGUACUGCAGUAGGAAACUGUCCUAGCAAGGCUCCACUUUGCCCCAGCUUCAAGCUGGAAAGGAGGAGAACAUGAAACAUUGCUUGAAGACAAUGGCCGAGACAGCAGGUCCCACCCUGCACAGCCACCAGCAUCUCUCCCCUCAGCCCUGUCUCCUCUUCUGCAGUUGGGAUCUGCACAUUUAAGCCUGAAAUUGUCCUGUGAAGUGAAGUAUGAUCGGACAGCCUCUUUUCAGCUUUUAUGACAAUGGAGACAGAGGAAUUGUGGCUCUUGCCAAGGUCACAGGAUUGGAAUACAGAGCCAAGCCACCCCAGGACAUGCAAGAGCCUCAGAAGGGAAAAAAGCCCAGCAGGAAGGGAGAACAAGUAGCCUCUGUCCUGAAGUUGUAACAGCCAGGGGCCAGGAUGGAGGAGGAGGACCCCAUAAUCUGCCCAUCUGGGACUUGGCAGGGGACCUGGGAAAAUGUACCCCAACCCAUCCCUUAAGGGCCUUUGUCUUUGGCCCAUUGGCCUAGCAUCUACUUCUUCACCGUGUCUGUUCUUGUCACACCUAGUCAGGUCUGUUUGGGUCUGAGGUGCAUGGAACAUUCUGGGUAGGCCUCCAGCAAACGGAAGCUCUUCACCGUGUUUCCAGCCUGGGACCAAGGGCAGCAUACUGGCAAAGUUGCCAAAGCAAGGGACUCCAGCCUCUUAGGAGUUAAUGACUCCCUCUCCCCAGCUGUCCUCCCCUUGGUGCUCCUCUUCCUCCCUCCUCCUGCUCACAGCAGGCAGGGCCUAGACCCGGGAGCCAUGCUGCUGUGCUGUUGCCAGGGGAGCACGGAGGCAGAUCUGAGCUAUGCAGGGAAAAGGCCCAGCCUGUCAAAGUGUCUGAGAUGAACCGCCGCCGUCCCUGUGCAGCUGGGCUCAGACGUGUCUCAGCUCUUGUUCUGUGCCUGAGAAUGGCGAAACCCAGUGAGGUUCAAGGGCAAACUCGCUAUUCAUUAGUCAGGGGUUCUUGACGUCCCGUCUCUCCCAGGGAUGAGUUCCCCCCUCCUCUUUCUCCCCCUCCUAUGACACAUUCCUGGGUGCCUUUGGUGAGGACUGCACACCCUCCUCCUGCCUAGCCCCCUCUCCAAAGGCCCCUGAAUAAACUCCCCCCAAGGAGACCAGGCAGGGCAGAGACAAUGGCUGCAGGAAAUCAUUCAGGCGGGACAUGCUGGCCUGCCCUCCACCCAGUCCCCCUGUGGGCCCCACUCCCUUCUGAUUCAGGGCACCCUUGGGCCCCCAGCCUAUACAGGCCUGGACAGGAAGAAACCACUGGGAACCACCCUAAGGACAACAUGCUAGUCCAGUGCCAUUCUUCGCUGGCUCUGUGGGUGCCUUUGUGGCCUGUACCGACUGGCUGGCUAAUUUUGUGGUUUCUGUACCAUCACAUGCCUAUUUUAAGACACUCUCCAGCACUGUCGGUUAGGGAGUGUAAAUUUUGCAAUAUUUUCUGAAAUGUGGCAAUAUCAAAAUGUAAAAGGCACACAUACUUGGUCACAAACAAAUGGCACUAUUUACUCUGUGGGCAUAUUUGUAAAAGUUGCCAAAGAAUUAUAUACAAGGAUGUUCAUCAGAGCAUUUCUUUUGAAGAGUAAAGAAAUGGACAUGAACCUGUGGUCCGUUCAUACGGUGGAAUACCUAUGCAGCUGUAAAAAUCAGUGUGGUAGAUCUCCGUAUAUGAGUUGAUGUGGAAGGUUGGCCAGUUCACAUGAUAAGGUGAAUAGAAUAAGUUACAGAACAGGCUGUAGAGUAUGAUCUUAUUUGUAGAUGUUUAAAACUGAGUCAUAAGUAUGCUUAUAUACAGAUCGUUUCUGGAAGUAUGUACUGGAAGUCUACCUCUGGGGAGUGGGGAUGGGGGAGUGCACUCUUCUAUACUGUUAUAUUUUCUUUUCAUGCUCCUAAGGUACUUUUAUUGGAAGAUGUAAAGCGGUUCAAUGUAAUAGGCUUAACUUCUGUCAACUAAGUUGGCGUGGGUGCUUUAAGAGGGUGGUAGUGAUGUUGCUGGAGAAAGUAUCCCACAGUCACUGGUGGCUUCAGCCACGGGCCAUUUUGGGGCCUAAUAAUCACAUAUCAUCAUGGUUGCUAGUGUUAAUCGAAAACCUACUAAGUGCCAGGCUUACUGUCUCUGGGUCUUGCUUACGUGGAUGUCAUUUUUCCAGUUGCACCAAAUCGAAAGAGGUUAAUUGGUUUGUUGGAGUUCCUUUGUAGGUGAAGGGCAGAGCCAGGAGCUUGGCUAGGGACAGGGGAGGUGAGUGGGGGAUGGUGGAUAGGUCUUGGCUCCCAGUUUCCUUCUGGGCAGACAUUGCCCCUCUGCCCUGAGGACCUGCUUGUUUGGGGGAAGAGGCCUUUAGAGGCACCAGGGUCAUGCCAGGUGUUGGACAUGGUGAACUGGGAAGUGCUCCCAUCUGGCCACAGCGCAGAAGUAUCACCGUGCUGGGGGAUGGGGAACAGGGCUGUGAAUGGGCCUAUUUGCAUAAGCAGCAUGUGUCUGGAGAGAAAGACAUCACAGAGCAGAAGAGUGCGGGUGCCCAGGAGUGCACUUGCCACCCCUACUUCAUCCCUGAAAGAGUAAAUGGCCUGGAAGGUGUCUCUGAGAGGUAAUGCCGCACACCACCCUCCCUGGGGGCAGGGUCAGGCUACACCUGCCUUAGGUCGGGGGCUGCAGCAGCCUGAGAGCUCUCAGUAGGGCCUCAGUAGCCUGGGAGGGAGCAGGGGCAGGGGGCAGGGAAAGAGGCGUAAUGGGGCUGUCCAGAGGGGCCUGGGAAACCUGGUCCCUGAGGCCUGGGCACAGCUACAAUCACUUCAAAUUGGCUGUGGGGCCAGUGGACUGGGAAGGAAAAAAGCAAUAAGAGUGACCAAGUGCAGAAGGCUGUCAGGUCCCAGGUCACAUGCCUUAGUGCAGUGACUCCUCAUCAUUUUAUGGGGUGUGGGUGUCGUUGGUACACCCAUUUUACAGAUGAGGACACCGAGGCCCAGAAAAGUUAAGUUACAUGUCCUAAGUCACACAGCUUGUAAGUGCCAGAACUGAGAUCAAAACCAAGUCUCUUUGACUUUAAAGUCUGUACUCUGACCCCAAAGAGAUCCUGUUUGGCCACUUAUAGGAGGUCCCUAAAGCUGCAGACUCCCCUUGCCGGCACCCACAUAUAGAGACAUUAACCCUUCCCCUGCAGGGUCACCUCAAAUAGUCUUUUAGCUGGGCUUCUCCUGCAAUUCCACCUAAUGCCAUCCCCUGGGUUUUGCCCAAACCUGAACUGGGCAGUGGGGUGAGAGGAGGGGUUUACAGGGUUACAGAGCCUCAUACAGAUAGGAGCCCAUGGCUGCUGGUCAUCUGCAUUCCUGCAGGAUUGGCUGUUCCUUGGGGUCCUUGGCAGGAAAAUGAGGAUUGCUCCGAGGCCUGCUCCAGUACUUCCCAGAGGCUGGCCUGGUGUGGGGCUCUGGGAAGGCUGAGGCUGGAGAAGCGUAAGUAGGAGGGCAGAGAUGGCACUCAGGUAGCUUGAAUCACCAGGACCCUUCCAAGCCCCACAGGUUCUGAGGGAGUACUAGGGCCAGCUCUGGGAGAGGUCUCUUCCUAUGCUGUGAACCCCCUGCCUUUCUUGCAGCCUACAACGAAUAAAUUUUCUUUGCAAAGG